UUUGAGGGGAAUGUUGUCUGGCUCGAGGCCAUCAACUAGAUCUAUGGAUUUUUUUUCAUAUAUCAAAGUUUGAGAGAUGAUGAUGAUUUAAUCAUUAAUCGGUUGAUCUAUGGAUUUUUUUUCAUAUAUCAAAGUUUGAGAGAUGAUGAUGAUUUAAUCAUUAAUCGGUUGAUCUAUGGAUUUUUUUUCAUAUAUCAAAGUUUGAGAGAUGAUGAUGAUUUAAUCAUUAAUCAUAGGUUAAUGACGUCGGACCAGGCUUCAUUCCCCCCAAU
rnacentral:pre_miRNA from 1 species